UAAUCUGUCUAAGAUAAAUCCUCAUCUAUUUGUAACAGAAACAUAUUUGAAUGCUCAGAAUCACCCGUUAUUGUAAACUCAAAUACAUCAUUCAUAUCAGUUUAAUAUAUUCAAAAAAAAAUUUCAAUGCUAAUUAAAUU
rnacentral:pre_miRNA from 1 species